UUAGUUAAAACCAAACUAGAGGUACUCCACUGUUAAUGGAAUCAUUGAAUAAAUUCUAACUAAA
rnacentral:tRNA from 1 species